rnacentral:rRNA from 1 species
CCUACGGGGUGCAGCAGUCGAGAAUCAUUCACAAUGGGGGAAACCCUGAUGGUGCGACGCCGCGUGGGGGAAUGAAGGUCUUCGGAUUGUAAACCCCUGUCAUGUGGGAGCAAAUUAAAAAGAUAGUACCCCAAGAGGAAGAGACGGCUAACUCUGUGCCAGCAGCCGCGGUAAUACAGAGGUCUCAAGCGUUGUUCGUAAUCCCUGGGCGUAAAGCGUGCGUAGGCUGUUUCGUAAGUCGUGUGUGAAAGGCGCGGGCUCAACCCGCGGACGGCAGAUGAUACUGCGAGACUAGAGUAAUGGAGGGGUAAGCGGAAUUCGCGGUGUAGCAGUGAAAUGCGUAGAUAUCGAGAGGAACACUCGUGGCGAAGGCGGGUUCCUGGACAUUAACUGACGCUGAGGCACGAAGGCCAGGGGAGCGAAAGGGAUUAGAUACCCGUGUAGUC